rnacentral:tRNA from 2 species
GGGUGAUUAGCUCAGCUGGGAGAGCACCUCCCUUACAAGGAGGGGGUCGGGGGUUCGAUCCCGUCAUCACCCACCA